rnacentral:lncRNA from 1 species
UACAUGUUUUAUGCAAACAUAAUUUUUUAUUUCUCUGGGAUAAAUGUCCAAGUGUGAGCAUAUUGCCUAUUUUAAAGCAUUAAUAAUGGAAAAUAGUGCUGUUCAGAAACGAACAAGGUGCCCCCAUGGAUCCUGCCUGGAGUAGGUGCUCUGUGCAGCGGGGUGCUGCAAUACCGCCUCCCUUCCCCUGGCAUCCAGCCUGCCUCCCGUGGAGCCUCUUCCACAAACAUUAUCAUGAUCAUCUCUGACCUUGAUUUAUGUUUUAGGAUUUGCAAUGUUCCUUCUCCUGCAAUUGCCUGUGUCUGGCAGGGGUGGGGCCCAGGCUUGCCUGCAGUCUCUGUGGCCUCCCACAUUCUUACUUCACUGGCCCAUUGCUUGUCCCUAGGCUGCUUCCUUCUCUUAGCUCAUCAAGCAACACACCUUCACAAAUACCUCGCUGUCAGGCCAAAAGGCAGAAGCCAGGCGGGGGCCACCAGCAAUAAUGCAUCUGGACCCGACACAAAGGACUUUGGUCAGCGGAAGGUCUGCUCUUGCCUUGUAGCAGAACUCUACCACCAGCCAGAUCCCCCAGUUUUGGUGGAUCCCUCCUCCCCACGGGCCUCUAGGUGUCCUGCUGCUCGUGUCCUGUGUAGCUCCCUCCCACAUGGACUGUGUAACCAGAGGGAGGUCACAGGAAUGAUGAAGCACGGCUCCCGAGACUCUGCUAUAUGUCUCCUGGGUCGCUCACCCAGGAGGGGUGAGAGGAGGCCGACCAUCCUGCAGCAAGGAUGCUCAUGCAGCCCCAUGGAGUGGUCCAUGUGGGGAGACAGCCAAAACCACCCAGCUGAGCUGUCUCUGUGUCCCUGAGCCUCCAAAAUUGUCUGAGAUCAUGUUUAUUAUUGGUUUACGCCAAGCAGUUUGGGGGUAACUUGUAACACCCUUCCCUUCUGGGAGGAUUUCAUGACCCACAGGUGGGCUGCCAUCCAUCGUGUGGAAAGCACUGUUGGAAAGCUUUCCAUCUGCCCACCCCGGCAUCAGGACACGGCCUUCCUGGUUAUUUCAGCGUCCCCUGAGCAACCACCUGACCAAGCUCCACAGAAAGGUGGUUAAGGGCAGAUAUUGAAUCCCGGCUCUGCAGUUGAUUAGCUUAGAACCUCGGGCAAGUCCCACUAUUGAUCUGUGCCUCAGUUUCUCCACCUCUAAAGCAGGGGUGGUAACAAUAGUGCUUGCCACUGGGAUUAUUGUGAGGAUCUGCUGGCACACGUCACGUCCUUGCGACAGUGCCCCACGCAUUUUGGGAGUGUAGAGCUGGGGACUGAUGUGUGGCAGACUGUGUUCCGAGGCUGGGGAUGCACCAAAGAGCAGAGUCAUUAGAGGGUGGGCCUGCCUGAGGUUGUGUCUACGUCUUUCCUGCUUGCAUUUCAUUGAAAACUUUAUUAACCAUACGUGUCGGUUCCGGGCUGAAUGGGAAGGCUGUGGAGGAGGAAGAUGCUGAGCUCACCUCCUCCCACGGACACACUAGGGCUGCAUAUAGCUACGUAUAGAGUACUCCUUUCCAGGAAGAACCUGGCAGCCAGCAAAACAGGUCAGCUGCAGUUGAAGAAAUGCAGAGGAAACCACAUCCAUAAGGGUAGCGAGGGCAGAGACGCAGGCCCUCGGGAACCAAACCCCCAGCAUGGGGACCUGCAUGUACGGGUGAUGCCUCAGCAUUGAGGUCCUCCCUCGAAGGGUUCAAGCCCCAACCUGAGGUACCCCUCUAGGUAUCUGUACUGGAAAGAUGAGCCCCCAUAAUGUCUCACUUUGAAAAUCAGCAGGACUUAACUCUGGGAGAGCCAGAGGUCUGCAGGAAUCGAAGACCCCAGGCCUAUAAGGCCAGCGUGCUAUGUCACUGUGUUCAAGACCCAGCACCGGAAUGCCUGGGUGGCUCAGUGGUUGAGCAUCUGCCUUUGGUCCAGGGCAUGAUCCUGGAGUUUCAGUAUCAAGUCCUGGGUCGGGUUCCCUGCAUGGAGCCUGCUUCUCCCUCUGCCUGUGUCUCUGCCUCUCUCUGUGUGUGUGUCUUUCAUGAAUAAAUAAAAUCUUAAAAAAAAAAAAAGACCCAGCACGGAGGCAGCAGUCUGAAAAGCACCUAGGGCUGUUCACGAAGGGCAUCGAUAUAUUGAGUGAUUUUAGGACGUGUGCUGGAGGAGCAGGGAUCUACAGGAACUUUCUCCAGGAACGAAGCAGGGGCAGUCACCAUAUCCCUUGCUGGCCCUGCCCGCCCUGCCCUACCGUCCCUCUGCAGACCUGUCCCAUCCAACUUGCUCACCCCUGCCACCCUCCCUGCAAAAAGCAGCUCUGCCCUGGAGGAUGGGCAUCCCCACCCACCUAGUAGGCCUGCUAGGUGGCAGCCAGCCCCACCCAUCAGCACACCUGCAGCACCUGAGGACUCAGUCACAAAAGGAGGACUUGAGAGCCCACACA